rnacentral:rRNA from 1 species
GACGAACGCUGGCGGCGUGCUUAACACAUGCAAGUCGAACGGAAAGGCCCUGCUUUUGUGGGGUGCUCGAGUGGCGAACGGGUGAGUAACACGUGAGUAACCUGCCCUUGACUUUGGGAUAACUUCAGGAAACUGGGGCUAAUACCGGAUAGGAGCUCCUGCUGCAUGGUGGGGGUUGGAAAGUUUCGGCGGGUGGGGAUGGACUCGCGGCUUAUCAGCUUGUUGGUGGGGUAGUGGCUUACCAAGGCUUUGACGGGUAGCCGGCCUGAGAGGGUGAACGGCCACAUUGGGACUGAGACACGGCCCAGACUCCUACGGGAGGCAGCAGUGGGGAAUAUUGCACAAUGGGCGGAAGCCUGAUGCAGCAACGCCGCGUGCGGGAUGACGGCCUUCGGGUUGUAAACCGCUUUCGCCUGUGACGAAGCGUGAGUGACGGUAAUGGGUGAAGAAGCACCGGCUAACUACGUG